UUUUCAGUCAAGCUCAAGAAGCACGAACAGACACCACUGGAAGAGUCAAGACAAGGUUCCUGUCGAAUACAACGGGCAGCGAAAAGCUUUGUCUGUAAUUAUUGUACCAGCAAACAAGCCAGCGCUACUGGGACGGGACUGAAUCGAGAGCGUAGAUGUUGACUUGAACGGCAUUCGCACCGUUCAAGCUGAACUCAUGACGGACAGCCUUGCAAAAAGGUGCCGACUACAACGAAUGCCGGGCACGUGUGGAAACAGUCCUGCAGCGUUUCGGGAAGCACGGCGUAAAAGAUUCAUGUCGGACAUGUCGUCCGAGCGGAGUCCUCUGUACCAAGUGCUGCAGAAAGACAAACCAUGGGCGUGGUCCACGGAAACGGAAAAAAACCACCGCCCCUUCCACCCUGUAAAGAUGGUUGAACAGCGAAGCUGUGUUAGUUACACCGAGUGUUACACCAUUCAAGUAAA